rnacentral:misc_RNA from 1 species
AAGUCGUAACAAGGUUUCCGUAGGUGAACCUGCGGAAGGAUCAUUAUUGAUUGAUGUACUCUUCUUUUGUUGGUUGCUCCUUUUUUGGGGCUCCACUUUAGAGAGACACCGACCUUUUGUGCACCAUUUGUCUGAACAACAGUCUUCGCAACUUGUUUUGUGAGAUUGGAAUUCAGUCAAAAACCUACCUUUUUUUAGAACCUUUGCCUGAUGAUCAAUAUUUCUUUGUAAAUAAACAAUCAUAAUUUGAAAUAACUUUUAACAACGGAUCUCUUGGCUCUCC